CCCCGUUGGAUGCGCUUGCUCACCGGAUGAAUGUAAAUUGAAUCGUAGCGGGAGCUCAGCUCCUCCAUGCGCUCGUCAUCGCGAAUCCCGGACGUCUCCUUCAGCCGCUCGAAGUGCUCCUCUGUGUGCAGGCGCAGAAUUUCAUCCUUGGUCGCCGAUCUCGAGGGCAACUCCAGGCAGCGCUCCGUCAGAUUUAGUUCGCGACAGCUGGAUGAGGAGAUUAGGGAAUACAUAUCAGCUUAAUUUGUACCGUUUUCUUCAAAUAUACUCACCGUUCCAGGACUCGUGUGAAGCGCUCGGGACACUCGUAGUGCUCCUUGUCCCACAGGCAACAGUGCUGGCUCAUGGACUCAUCGUAGAUCAGUGCCGUUGGUUUCCGCACCAGACUCUUGCUGUUGACAGCCUUUUCGUCGGCGACGAUUAAAUAUCACUUGGUUAGGAUUGCACAAGGACAGAGGAUAGAGGUCAGUCAGAUAGCACUCACAUUCUGGAAUAUAUCCGUGACGCUCUCCUGCGAUCCGCAGCCCUGAUUCUUGAGCAUGUUGUUCCGAGCUCGACGUUUCGCCUCCAAGAGCGCUGCGUUCGGUUUGUUCGACUUUCGCGGAUCGGCGGCAUUAAAUCCGCCGCUGAUACUGCCGCUGCUGCUGCCGGUGCCGCCGGCCGCCGUCGCCGCCCCUGUCGUGCCCGUCUUCGAUUUACUGGCCAUUGCCCGUGUCUGAAUCUUUGCCUGCUGCGCACUCCGUCGCGUGACGAUGGGCGGGCUCUGCGAAAACGAAUUUAAAUCUUUAGUAAGCAUUUCCCGCUAGGUAGACACACAACGCAGCUUCUGGCGGGGAUUCAUGCACAGAUGGAUCGCCAGUGCUGCUCCCACAGGCGAAUUUGAUUGCCCACUGGGGUGAGACAAGUGCUCAAGAAUCCAGUUACCUAACCCUUUCCAAACAACCAUAUGUGGAAUGGCAUGAAAGAUUUUACCAAUGUUACCACAUAAAAAAGCAACUCUCGGCCUUUUUCAAUCGAAGAUUACGGCGAUUGACAUAGGACUUUAGGAAUCUGGAUUGCAACUAAUCUGGAUUAAAACCUGUAUCCAAAUAUCGCGUAACAUCUAUGGUCUGUAACUUUUUCGGUUAACUGCUUAAAAUUUUGUUUACUAUUUGCAAAAAUGUAGUUUUUUUGCUGUUGCUAAACAUUUAAUCAUGUUUUACGUUACACUAUGCUAGAAUAUUAAAAAUUUGAAACAUGUCAAAAAAACUUCAAAUCUGGACUGUUGGGUUUAUU
rnacentral:lncRNA from 1 species